rnacentral:rRNA from 1 species
GACGAACGCUGGCGGCGUGCCUAAUACAUGCAAGUUGAGCGAUGAAGAUUGGUGCUUGCACCAAUUUGAAGAGCAGCGAACGGGUGAGUAACGCGUGGGGAAUCUGCCUUUGAGCGGGGGACAACAUUUGGAAACGAAUGCUAAUACCGCAUAACAACUUUAAACAUAAGUUUUAAGUUUGAAAGAUGCAAUUGCAUCACUCAAAGAUGAUCCCGCGUUGUAUUAGCUAGUUGGUGAGGUAAAGGCUCACCGAGGCGAUGAUACAUAGCCGACCUGAGAGGGUGAUCGGCCACAUUGGGACUGAGACACGGCCCAAACUCCUACGGGAGGCAGCAGUAGGGAAUCUUCGGCAAUGGACGAAAGUCUGACCGAGCAACGCCGCGUGAGUGAAGAAGGUUUUCGGAUCGUAAAACUCUGUUGGUAGAGAAGAACGUUGGUGAGAGUGGAAAGCUCAUCAAGUGACGGUAACUACCCAGAAAGGGACGGCUAACUACGUG